rnacentral:lncRNA from 1 species
UAACCGUUGUUUUUCCUUGAAAAAAAAGUUAUGACUGGCGUUUAAAAAUUCUUCAUUUGUGUUCAGCUAUCCUUCAAGUGAAAGGUUUGGCUGCUUUAUAAUCAGGUAUAGUCCACCGUUUAUUACAUUAGGAAACAAUUUCGGAAAAGAGAUAGUUCAGUGAAAUACAGUUUUGUGAAGUUCAACUCAUCAAGGAGACCAGACAAAAAUCAAGUCGGGCAUUUAAAUAAUCAUCCAUAAUAUAAGGUUUAAGUCCAUCGAAGUAAAAUGUUACUAAUUUCUAUAAAUAUCUUAAGCCACUGCAACUUCCAAACGCAAGUAUAGAAACAAAAUUCAUUAUUAUGAAGCAAGCAGAAGACGGGACAACUAAAAUUUACUUGUUAAAUUUGGAGCAUUUGAUAUUUUCUAUUUGCAAUCAUCUAAUAUAUGUUAAUAAUUAUGCUACAUUGCAUAGCGACUGUAUAUGUAAUGUAUUCAAAUCAUCCAUAGUUGAAAACAUAACACGACAAAG